UACGUAGGGUGCGAGCGUUGUCCGGAAUUAUUGGGCGUAAAGAGCUCGUAGGCGGUGUGUCACGUCGGCCGUGAAAACUCACAGCUUAACUGUGGGCGUGCGGGCGAUACGGGCAGACUGGAGUACUGCAGGGGAGACUGGAAUUCCUGGUGUAGCGGUGGAAUGCGCAGAUAUCAGGAGGAACACCGGUGGCGAAGGCGGGUCUCUGGGCAGUAACUGACGCUGAGGAGCGAAAGCGUGGGGAGCGAACAGG
rnacentral:rRNA from 1 species